GUGGGGAAUAUUGGGCAAUGGGCGAAAGCCUGACCCAGCAACGCCGCGUGAAGGAAGAAGGUUUUCGGAUCGUAAACUUCUAUCCUUGGUGAAGAUAAUGACGGUAGCCAAGAAGGAAGCCCCGGCUAACUACGUGCCAGCAGCCGCGGUAAUACGUAGGGGGCAAGCGUUGUCCGGAAUGAUUGGGCGUAAAGGGCGCGUAGGCGGCCAGGUAAGUCUGAAGUGAAAGUCCUGCUUUUAAGGUGGGAAUUGCUUUGGAUACUGUCGGGCUUGAGUGCAGGAGAGGUAAGCGGAAUUCCCGGUGUAGCGGUGAAAUGCGUAGAGAUCGGGAGGAACACCAGUGGCGAAGGCGGCUUACUGGACUGUAACUGACGCUGAGGCGCGAAAGUGUGGGGAGCAAACAGGAUUAGAUACCCCAGUAGUCC
rnacentral:rRNA from 1 species